UACUUAGUACAUCCUCAAAGUACUGAUCCACACAUAUAUCUAUGUGCUACAUUAUCUCAUAAUAUAGGUUCAGGUGCUCAGUAUCAGCAGCGUAAGUAGUUCGAGCAACCCCAUCUACAUUCAAUAGUUGGUGAGUCCUCAUAGUUUGGCAACUUAGUCAUUUAGAUUUUGCAGCUUAUUAGUUUAUAUGAUUCAGUAUUCUUUUCAGACAAUUUGAGUUAGCUGGGGGUUUGUCCCAG
rnacentral:lncRNA from 1 species